CCUACGGGGGGCAGCAGUCGGGAAUAUUGCGCAAUGGAGGAAACUCUGACGCAGUGACGCCGCGUGCAGGAAGAAGGUUUUCGGAUUGUAAACUGCUUUAGACAGGGAAGAAACAAGACAGUACCUGUAGAAUAAGCUCCGGCUAACUACGUGCCAGCAGCCGCGGUAAUACGUAGGGAGCAAGCGUUAUCCGGAUUUAUUGGGUGUAAAGGGUGCGUAGACGGGAAAGCAAGUUAGUUGUGAAAUCCCUCGGCUUAACUGAGGAACUGCAACUAAAACUACUUUUCUUGAGUGCUGGAGAGGAAAGUGGAAUUCCUAGUGUAGCGGUGAAAUGCGUAGAUAUUAGGAGGAACACCAGUGGCGAAGGCGACUUUCUGGACAGUAACUGACGUUGAGGCACGAAAGUGUGGGGAGCAAACAGGAUUAGAUACCCCAGUAG
rnacentral:rRNA from 1 species